rnacentral:misc_RNA from 1 species
GUAACUUCUCAAAUUUUUUUCUCUAAUAUCCUCCCUUUCCAAAAUCUAGUUGUCAUCAUCUCUUAUAUAUCUAUCUAAAUUUGUAAUUAGUGCAUUUCUUUUGUCUUAUCCUUGAUAAAUUGUAUAUAUCUUUUAAACACAACAAGCUUUUCACUGUAAUUUUAACAAGCCUAACAAGUCAAAUCAACAGACUGAUAACAAUAACAAUUAUGGAAAAGAAAGGAAGAUUAAAAAAGAAGAUGAAGUUGCUCCUAAUGAAACACCCUAAUAACAGAACAUAAAGUUU